rnacentral:rRNA from 1 species
GUGAGGAAUAUUGGACAAUGGGCGCAAGCCUGAUCCAGCCAUGCCGCGUGCAGGAAGACGCAUCUAUGGUGUGUAAACUGCUUUUGUACGGGAAGAAACACUCCCUCGUGAGGGAGCUUGACGGUACCGUAAGAAUAAGGAUCGGCUAACUCCGUGCCAGCAGCCGCGGUAAUACGGAGGAUCCAAGCGUUAUCCGGAAUCAUUGGGUCUAAAGGGUACGUAGGCGGUUUAAUAAGUCAGUGGUGAAAGCCCAUCGCUCAACGAUGGAACGGCCAUUGAUACUGUUAGACUUGAAUUACAAGGAAGUAACUAGAAUAUGGAGUGUAGCGGUGAAAUGCUUAGAUAUUACAUGGAAUACCAAUUGCGAAGGCAGGUUACUACUUGUGGAUUGACGCUGAUGGACGAAAGCGUGGGGAGCGAACAGGAUUAGAAACCCGAGUAGUCC